AACGAACGCUGGCGGCAGGCUUAACACAUGCAAGUCGAGCGCCCCGCAAGGGGAGCGGCAGACGGGUGAGUAACGCGUGGGAAUCUACCCAUCCCUACGGAAUAGCUCCGGGAAACUGGAAUUAAUACCGUAUACGCCCUACGGGGGAAAGAUUUAUCGGGGAUGGAUGAGCCCGCGUUGGAUUAGCUAGUUGGUGGGGUAAAGGCCUACCAAGGCGACGGUCCAUAGCUGGUCUGAGAGGAUGAUCAGCCACAUUGGGACUGAGACACGGCCCAAACUCCUACGGGAGGCAGCAGUGGGGAAUAUUGGACAAUGGGGGCAACCCUGAUCCAGCCAUGCCGCGUGAGUGAUGAAGGCCUUAGGGUUGUAAAGCUCUUUCACCGGGGAAGAUAAUGACGGUACCCGGAGAAGAAGCCCCGGCUAACUUCGUGCCAGCAGCCGCCGUAACAC
rnacentral:rRNA from 1 species